GGCUUAGUUGAGUUGAAUUGAGUUAUUAAAAAUAAUAUUUAUUUUCUGAGGACUAAUUUGAACUUAAACAGAAAUUUUAUGUUUAUUUGAACUUCAAUAGAAAGUUAAAGGGCUUAUUUGGAUUUUUUUCAACUAUUAUACAAACCAACAUCAACAUCAUUAUAUAUAUAUAUAUGAUUAUUACUAGUUAGUAACACAUAACAAUAUUUUAUAAGGUAAAAGUUUAAUAUAUCUCUAUUUUUCUAAAAGGUAACUUGAACUAAAUUGAAAUGGAAAAAUCGAAAUAUAUAUUUUUUUAUAAUAUAAAUGAAUUGAAUUUAAAAUCCUAAUCAAAUCGAAUCGAUCCAAAGUAUAUUAGUUUAGUUCAAUUUGGUCCAUCAAUUCCAAUUUUAGCUACCAAACUACUAAUAAAACUUAGCAAAAUCCAAACAAAACAAAUUCAUCCCAAAGCAAAAUCUUUAACAAUAACCAAUUAUCAUAAAAAAAUCAACCAACAGUCAACAAAAACUCAUCCAAACAAAACUUAGUUGUUAAAUCAAAAUCUUCAACAAUUAACCAAGACAUUUCAACACUCAAAAUCUGAAAUUUAUCCUUACCAAGUAGAAAAGCAACAAUAUAUUA
rnacentral:misc_RNA from 1 species